UGCAUUUGCUCUAUUUAUAAUGUCCACAUCUUAAUUUGUAAUAUUAGCGAUCAUAGUAUUCCCCUGCUAGGUAAUCAGAGGGCAGCACAGAGGAGCUGUUUACUCACGGGUUUCCGUUCCCUUUGCUCUGUUGUGCAGCCAGGCCAACACCCGCGCUCUUCUCUCAGCAGAUGAAAGGGGAGGGCAGGGCCAGAUGAAAGCCCUGCACAGAUGUGCUGGAGCAUCCCCAGCCAGCAUGUGAGAUCUGUCUGCCAGGAAGGGAAGCAGCCGAAAACCAGUCACUCCUUUCAGGAAUCAUGAAGAUGCGCUGGAGAUGGAAAACAUAAGGAUUACCCAACAGCCUUAAAAAGAUCGAUUGGCUUUUGCAAAACUCUCACCAAGAAGCCUGCAGAGAGGAAUCCAGCAUGAGCGAUCAUCAGCUGAGGAACAUCACAACCGUGUAAAAAGGAAACGGGAAAAGGAAAGUGUAUCUCACCGCUGUUCACUUCUAACAGGAGUAGAAGUGUUACACCCUGAGGUGCCAAACUGAAGACCUGAGGGAGAAUUAUCUCGUACAAGAUCAAGCAGGAAUGCCUACUGCAUGGUGUAUUGUUUGUGCAGUAACUUUUCUCCUGGGAAAGAACACGACUUUAUGGCAGACAGGAAUGCUGACCCACUUGCCUUCUGCUGCAGGCAUCCAUCAAACCUGGCCUCUGUUUCCCCUGGAGCCUUAAUUUUCCUCUUGACAGCAAAGACAAAUGACGGCCGCAGGGCUGUUUGCUUGUGUCUACUCAAGGUUUCCAUAACAUUUCUUAAAGAUGACCUGUUUUUAAACACACAUGGAGUUUUCUCUCUGCUGUCACCUACCAGCAUGAAAGCAGAAUCAGGUUUGUUAUAA
rnacentral:lncRNA from 1 species